rnacentral:lncRNA from 1 species
GUACCAUUUAACAAGUUUGCCCGUAUAUUUAUAGUAAGCGACAAACCGAUCAUAUCACAAUUUUUCAAGACAAAUUGUUAAAAUGGAUUUCCAGAUAUGGAUAGGGUACAGAAAAAUCAUUUUUCUGCAUCGAAUAAUCUAUAGUAGUAAUCCACUAACAUGAUAAACUAAACUUUAGCUCAUCAACUGAAACGUUAAAUCUUGUAA